rnacentral:rRNA from 1 species
UACGUAGGGUGCGAGCGUUAAUCGGAAUUACUGGGCGUAAAGCGUGCGCAGGCGGUUUUGUAAGCCAGAUGUGAAAUCCCCGGGCUUAACCUGGGAAUGGCAUUUGGGACUGCAAGGCUUGAGUGCGGCAGAGGAGACUGGAAUUCCUGGUGUAGCAGUGAAAUGCGUAGAUAUCAGGAGGAACACCGGUGGCGAAGGCGGGUCUCUGGGCCGUUACUGACGCUGAGGAGCGAAAGCGUGGGGAGCGAAUGGG